CAAUUGUUCAAUUCAUUCUCCCAGACUAUCCCUCUUGGAUUCAAAAACCAGAUGAGGACCACAUCCUACCCUGAUGGAAAAAAACACAUCAAGUAAGCUCCCUUACAUAACAGUUCUGAGGGGACAGGCUGACCAGGAGGACCGGAGGCUCCAGAGGAGCACUGAAGGAGAAGAUCUGCCUGUGGGUCUCCAUUGCCCUGCUCCUGCCCACACUCCUGCCAGCUGCCCUGACCAGAGUCAUCAUGCCACUUGAGCAGAGCAGUCAGCACUGCAAGCCCGAGGAAGGCCUUGAGGGUGGUCACAAAGCAGAAAUGCUGGAGUGUGUCAUUCCAGAUUGCAUGUACUUCUUCCCUGUGAUCUUCUGCAGC
rnacentral:lncRNA from 13 species